AAUCACUUGAGUUCUCGAGUCGAAAUGUACGCCUACGCCUCUCUGCAUUAAUCGCCGGCGGAGUUCCUUAAAAAAAAAAAAAAAAAAAUCGUGGGCGGAGUCUUCCACGCUACGCACAUGUCAUCGACUGCUGCACACAGCCUGUGGCUCGAUGUCGGUGCUGGCAAAUUGCUCACCAUUAAAGCUGGCCAUGCAACAACUCAAAAGCCAUUUGUAUCAUUCAUCGUACAGGGUUUUGGUUUUCGAAACGAAGACGACAAUCCAUUCAAUAACUGUGUGUGUCCAUCCGAGUUUCUGACUUUCUGCAAUAUCAAGACUCUCCAUCCGGUCCCAAAUUUAUAUGUAAGGCCUUAUAAAUAAAACUACCCUCUUUAACCUCUCCCACGCACAUACUUUUCAUCAAGUAUAUGAUUAGGUUCUACUUAUCUAUUGCUUCAGUUUGUAUCCACAUGCAGGGUCCUUAUCUCCGUUUCACUGCAAAAAUACUUGUUCUACAUGUACGUUAGUCCCAUUUUCGUUACCCAGGGAAAAACUAAAACAUUUAUUCCAUUGUCUUAAGCGUCUUUUUCCUCUAUCGAUCUGUUUGUAUUUCCUUGCACAUUUGUGAUAAAGUCAACCGAGUUUCAGUGUUGUAAAUAUAUCUUGAGGACCAGAAUACGUGGUGGGUGGAGCACAGGCAUUGGUUCAAACUUAAAUGAAAACCCCAGGAACCUUUUCAACUGAUUUACAAACCCCCUCCACUUCCUUUCCUCAAAUUUAGCCUACAUUUUCCCCAAACCUCUGCAAGAAACAUCCUUUUUGCAGAUAUUAUUAUUAUUAUUUUUUUUUAGAGUCGGGGCCACUUCGUACUUGUUUAAGGGGAGCUGGGAAGGUAUAGGCAUAUACUCAGCUCGUUUCCUGCAUCUCAUUUGGUCUAGUUAACUGACAAUGGGAAGUAUAGACAAUGGGAAAUAUAGUGGGAAAGAGUGAAUCACCUAAACAGGUUUGGAUAACAGAAACAAAGCUUUAGGCCAAAAUGGUUGAAGCUAUGAAGCAGAGGGCAUCAGCGGGAAGUGCGCGCCACGAAAUCAUUCAACAGCAUAAUCGACCUUGCAGUUCCCCAAAAUCGAUUAGAGCUUGAGAAAUUGCAGUGUAAUUUUUGAGCAAUUUGGUGGGUGGCCUAUCAAUUCUUUGUUGAAUACUAGUAGUUGAUAAUUUCUUCUGGUAACACUAAAUUUUGUGAAUUACGACCAUAAAAUUAAGAAGUGCUUAUUGUUC